rnacentral:rRNA from 1 species
UACAGAGGUCUCAAGCGUUGUUCGGAUUCAUUGGGCGUAAAGGGUGCGUAGGUGGCGCCGUAAGUCAGGUGUGAAAUUUCGGAGCUUAACUCCGAAACUGCAUUUGAUACUGCGGUGCUUGAGGACUGGAGAGGAGACUGGAAUUCACGGUGUAGCAGUGAAAUGCGUAGAUAUCGAGAGGAACACCAGUGGCGAAGGCGAGUCUCUGGACAUUUCCUAACGCUGAGGCACGAAAGCCAGGGGAGCAAACGGG